UACGGGGGGGGCAAGCGUUGUUCGGAAUUACUGGGCGUAAAGGGCUCGUAGGCGGCCAACUAAGUCGGAUGUGAAAUCCCCAGGCUUAACCUGGGAACUGCAUCUGAUACUGGAUGGCUUGAAUCCGGGAGAGGGAUGCGGAAUUCCAGGUGUAGCGGUGAAAUGCGUAGAUAUCUGGAGGAACACCGGUGGCGAAGGCGGCAUCCUGGACCGGCAUUGACGCUGAGGAGCGAAAGCCAGGGGAGCAAACGGG
rnacentral:rRNA from 1 species